UACGAAGGGGGCUAGCGUUGCUCGGAAUCACUGGGCGUAAAGGGUGCGUAGGCGGGUCUUUUAAGUCAGGGGUGAAAUCCUGGAGCUCAACUCCAGAACUGCCUUUGAUACUGAAGAUCUUGAGUUCGGGAGAGGUGAGUGGAACUGCGAGUGUAGAGGUGAAAUUCGUAGAUAUUCGCAAGAACACCAGUGGCGAAGGCGGCCAACUGGUCCGGUACUGACGCUGAGGUGCGAAAGCGUGGGGGAGCAAACAGG
rnacentral:rRNA from 1 species